rnacentral:rRNA from 1 species
GAUGAACGCUAGCUACAGGCUUAACACAUGCAAGUCGAGGGGCAUCAGGAAGAAAGCUUGCUUUCUUUGCUGGCGACCGGCGCACGGGUGAGUAACACGUAUCCAACCUGCCCUUUACUCGGGGAUAGCCUUUCGAAAGAAAGAUUAAUACCCGAUGGCAUAAUGAUUCCGCAUGGUUUCAUUAUUAAAGGAUUCCGGUAAAGGAUGGGGAUGCGUUCCAUUAGGUUGUUGGUGAGGUAACGGCUCACCAAGCCUUCGAUGGAUAGGGGUUCUGAGAGGAAGGUCCCCCACAUUGGAACUGAGACACGGUCCAAACUCCUACGGGAGGCAGCAGUGAGGAAUAUUGGUCAAUGGGCGCUAGCCUGAACCAGCCAAGUAGCGUGAAGGAUGAAGGCUCUAUGGGUCGUAAACUUCUUUUAUAUAAGAAUAAAGUGCAGUAUGUAUACUGUUUUGUAUGUAUUAUAUGAAUAAGGAUCGGCUAACUCUGUGCCAGCAGCCGCGGUAAUACGGAGGAUCCGAGCGUUAUCCGGAUUUAUUGGGUUUAAAGGGAGCGUAGGUGGACUGGUAAGUCAGUUGUGAAAGUUUGCGGCUCAACCGUAAAAUUGCAGUUGAUACUGUCAGUCUUGAGUACAGUAGAGGUGGGCGGAAUUCGUGGUGUAGCGGUGAAAUGCUUAGAUAUCACGAAGAACUCCGAUUGCGAAGGCAGCUCACUGGACUGCAACUGACACUGAUGCCCGAAAGUGUGGGUAUCAAACAGG